CCUGCCCUGGACUCUGGGAUAAGCGCUGGAAACGGCGUCUAAUACUGGAUAUGAGACGUGAUCGCAUGGUCGUGUUUGGAAAGAUUUUUCGGUCUGGGAUGGGCUCGCGGCCUAUCAGCUUGUUGGUGAGGUAAUGGCUCACCAAGGCGUCGACGGGUAGCCGGCCUGAGAGGGUGACCGGCCACACUGGGACUGAGACACGGCCCAGACUCCUACGGGAGGCAGCAGUGGGGAAUAUUGCACAAUGGGCGGAAGCCUGAUGCAGCAACGCCGCGUGAGGGAUGACGGCCUUCGGGUUGUAAACCUCUUUUAGCAGGGAAGAAGCGAAAGUGACGGUACCUGCAGAAAAAGCGCCGGCUAACUACGUGCCAGCAGCCGCGGUAAUACGUAGGGCGCAAGCGUUAUCCGGAAUUAUUGGGCGUAAAGAGCUCGUAGGCGGUUUGUCGCGUCUGCUGUGAAAUCCCGAGGCUCAACCUCGGGCCUGCAGUGGGUACGGGCAGACUAGAGUGCGGUAGGGGAGAUUGGAAUUCCUGGUGUAGCGGUGGAAUGCGCAGAUAUCAGGAGGAACACCGAUGGCGA
rnacentral:rRNA from 1 species